rnacentral:rRNA from 1 species
UACGGAGGGUGCAAGCGUUAAUCGGAAUUACUGGGCGUAAAGCGUGCGUAGGCGGUUCGUUAAGUCUGUUGUGAAAGCCCCGGGCUCAACCUGGGAAUGGCAAUGGAUACUGGCGAGCUAGAGUGUGUCAGAGGAUGGUGGAAUUCCCGGUGUAGCGGGUGAAAUGCGUAGAGAUCGGGAGGAACAUCAGUGGCGAAGGCGGCCAUCUGGGACAACACUGACGCUGAGGCACGAAAGCGUGGGGAGCAAACAGGG